rnacentral:rRNA from 1 species
ACGAACGCUGGCGGCGUGCCUAAUACCUGCCAGUUGAGCGCUGAAGGUUGGUACUUGUACCGACUGGAUGAGCAGCGAACGGGUGAGUAACGCGUGGGGAAUCUGCCUUUGAGCGGGGGACAACAUUUGGAAACGAAUGCUAAUACCGCAUAAAAACUUUAAACACAAGUUUUAAGUUUGAAAGAUGCAAUUGCAUCACUCAAAGAUGAUCCCGCGUUGUAUUAGCUAGUUGGUGAGGUAAAGGCUCACCAAGGCGAUGAUACAUAGCCGACCUGAGAGGGUGAUCGGCCACAUUGGGACUGAGACACGGCCCAAACUCCUACGGGAGGCAGCAGUAGGGAAUCUUCGGCAAUGGACGAAAGUCUGACCGAGCAACGCCGCGUGAGUGAAGAAGGUUUUCGGAUCGUAAAAAUCUGUUGGUAGAGAAGGACGUUGGUGAGAGUGGAAAGCUCAUCAAGUGACGGUAACUACCCAGAAAGGGACGGCUAACUACGUG